UCCCUGGUAUCUCAGAUGGUAAUAAAGAAUCUGCUUGCAAUGCAGGAGAUCCAAGUUCGAUCCCUGGGUGGGGAA
rnacentral:tRNA from 1 species